rnacentral:rRNA from 1 species
GACGAACGCUGGCGGCGUGCUUAACACAUGCAAGUCGAGCGGAAAGGCCACUUCGGUGGUACUCGAGCGGCGAACGGGUGAGUAACACGUGAGUAAUCUGCCCUUGGCUUUGGGAUAGCCACCGGAAACGGUGAUUAAUACCGGAUACGACCACUUCUCGCAUGGGAUGGUGGUGGCAAGUUUUUCGGCCAGGGAUGUGCUCGCGGCCUAUCAGCUUGAUGGUGAGGUAAUGGCUCACCAUGGCUUCGACGGGUAGCCGGCCUGAGAGGGUGACCGGUCACACUGGGACUGAGACACGGCCCAGACUCCUACGGGAGGCAGCAGUGGGGAAUAUUGGACAAUGGGCGGAAGCCUGAUCCAGCAACGCCGCGUGAGGGAUGACGGCCUUCGGGUUGUAAACCUCUUUCGGUGGGGACGAAGCGCAAGUGACGGUACCCACUAAAGAAGCACCGGCCAACUACGUGCCAGCCGCCGCCGUAA